GAGAAUACAGACCUACUUCAGGGAGAAGGCAGCUGCUCGGGUCGGUUCUGUUGUGCAGCUCUGGAGAGGAGAAGAUAUUUCUCACGCUGAGCUACAGGAAGUUGAUGCUGAAAUGCAAUAACAGCAGAUGUUACUGGGAUGCAGUCAUAAGACGGAGGCAAACGGGCUCUUUGUGACCAUCUCAGGCCACAGCACCGGCAUAUUUCCAGAUGGUGCAGAUGCUAUUUAUAAAGCAUUGCGCAGGGGAUCUGUUACGGGGUGCUUUACAGCCACACUUUGCAGAAGGACACGUCUGCUGUCUCAUCCAUUGAGAAAGACUCUCCCAGAGCAAAAGAGCCACAGGUCAGUGCUGCUGCUCUCAGGGGCAUGCGGUAAGAUAUCCUGUGACUGUAGCGAGGACAAAGGGAGUUGUAAAGAGCAGUUGGGAGAAAAAGCCUCCCUGAUCUGCCCAGUGUCCUGCUUCUCUCUUCGGGAUGGAAUGACAAGUUUCUGUUUGGAUUUUCUCUAG
rnacentral:lncRNA from 1 species